rnacentral:rRNA from 1 species
GAUGAACGCUGGCGGCGUGCUUAACACAUGCAAGUCGAACGAUGAAGCCCAGCUUGCUGGGUGGAUUAGUGGCGAACGGGCGAGUAACACGUGAGUAACCUGCCCUUAACUCUGGGAUAAGCCUGGGAAACUGGGUCUAAUACCGGAUAGGAGCGCCUACCCCAGGGUGGGUGUUGGAAAGAUUUAUCGGUUUUGGAUGGACUCGCGGCCUAUCAGCUUGUUGGUGAGGUAAUGGCUCACCAAGGCGACGACGGGUAGCCGGCCUGAGAGGGUGACCGGCCACACUGGGACUGAGACACGGCCCAGACUCCUACGGGAGGCAGCAGUGGGGAAUAUUGCACAAUGGGCGAAAGCCUGAUGCAGCGACGCCGCGUGAGGGAUGACGGCCUUCGGGUUGUAAACCUCUUUCAGUAGGGAAGAAGCGAAAGUGACGGUACCUGCAGAAGAAGCACCGGCUAACUACGUG